rnacentral:rRNA from 1 species
UACGUAGGGACCAAGCGUUGUUCGGAUUUACUGGGCGUAAAGGGCGCGUAGGCGGCAAUUCAAGUCAGUUGUGAAAUCUCCGAGCUUAACUCGGAACGGUCAACCGAUACUGCUUUGCUAGAGUACAGAAGGGGCAAUCGGAAUUCUUGGUGUAGCGGUGAAAUGCGUAGAUAUCAAGAGGAACACCUGAGGUGAAGACGGGUUGCUGGGCUGAUACUGACGCUGAGGCGCGAAAGCUAGGGUAGCAAACGGG